rnacentral:rRNA from 1 species
CCUUGACAUACUAAGAACUUUCCAGAGAUGGAUUGGUGCCUUCGGGAACUUAGAUACAGGUGCUGCAUGGCUGUCGUCAGCUCGUGUCGUGAGAUGUUGGGUUAAGUCCCGNAACGAGCGCAACCCUUUUCCUUAUUUGCCAGCGGGUCAUGCCGGGAACUUUAAGGAUACUGCCAGUGACAAACUGGAGGAAGGCGGGGACGACGUCAAGUCAUCAUGGCCCUUACGGCCAGGGCACACACGUGCUACAAUGGUCGGUACAAAGGGUUGCUACCUCGCGAGAGGAUGCUAAUCUCAAAAAGCCGAUCGUAGUCCGGAUCGCAGUCUGCAACUCGACUGCGUGAAGUCGGAAUCGCUAGUAAUCGCGGAUCAGAAUGCCGCGGUGAAUACGUUCCCGGGCCUUGUACACACCGCCCGUCACACCAUGGGAGUUUGUUGCACCAGAAGUAGGUAGUCUAACCGCAAGGAGGACGCUUACCACGGUGUGGCCGAUGACUGGGGUGAAGUCGUAACAAGGUAGGCGUAGAUGA